GAAUAAGUAGCUUAGUGGUUUAAGCGUUCAGUUUACAAACAACUGAAUGAAGGUUUAAACCCUGCUUUACUCA
rnacentral:tRNA from 1 species